rnacentral:rRNA from 1 species
CCUACGGGAGGCAGCCGUGGGGAAUAUUGCACAAUGGGGGAAACCCUGAUGCAGCGACGCCGCGUGAGUGAAGAAGUAUCUCGGUACGUAAAGCUCUAUCAGCAGGGCAGAAAAUGACGGUACCUGACUAAGAAGCACCGGCUAACUACGUGCCAGCGGCCGCGGUAAUACGUCAGGGGCAAGCGUUAUCCGGAUUUACUGGGUGUAAAGGGAGCGUAGACGGCAGCACAAGUCUGGAGUGAAAUCCCGGGGCUUAACCCCGGAACUGCGUUGGAAACUGUGCGGCUGGAGUGCAGGAGGGGUAAGCGGAAUGCCUAGUGUAGCGGUGAAAUGCGUAGAUAUUAGGAGGAACACCGGUGGCGAAGGCGGCUUACUGGACUGUAACUGACGUUGAGGCUCGAAAGCGUGGGGAACAAACAGGAUUAGAUACCCUUGUAGUC